rnacentral:tRNA from 1 species
GCGGCUAUAGUUCAGGGGUUAGAACGCGGGAUUGUGAUUCCCGAUGUCGAGGGUUCAAAUCCCUCUAGCCGCCCCA